AAAUUACUUACAGCUGUUUAUCACAUCAAAGGAUCUGAAAUCUGUCUCAGAGAACCCUCCCUUAUCUUCUCAACGAUGAUCUCCCUCUACCAACCACGAUAUUCUACCACCUCUUCCCUCCUCUCACCUCUCACCGAUUUCCUCCCUCCUUUCUCCUCUGGCAACCACCAAUGACGUCUCCUUGUGGUGCCGAUUUUGUUUUAUUUUUUGUGGGUAUUCAUAGUGUUCACUAGCGAAUCAAACGGAAAUUGAGCUUAAGGAUGGAAGAAUACGACACAAGCUUCUAUUAAGUACGCAAAGUGGAAAAAUGGAGGCUGAUUCAAAUGUUGGUGAGAAUCCUUUAAUAAAUGAGGGCAAAGACGUUGAAGAACCUAAAAAGGGUAUGUGUUUUAGCUCAAGGGAAGAGGUGUACACAUUUUAUGGCAAAUAUGCUAAGCAUGUUGGAUUUUCUAUAGCUCAUAGAGCACAACAUUUUGGAGAUGAUGGGCAAUUGCUAAACUUUGCAAUUUAAUGUUUUCGAGCGGGGCAGAGAAAAAAGAAAUCAGAAGUCAACCCUCUGAAGCCAUGUUUGUCCACAAAAAUUGGUUGCACAGCAAGGGUACGAGGUAGUGUACAAAAGGAUGGGAGAUAUAAACAAACCACAAUUAACCUUGAGGAUAAUCAUGAUUUGAUUCCCAUUGACUCACGUCAUUUUGCAAUGAAUAAGAAAAUUCUUACUCCGGUGAAGAGAAGAUUAGAAAUUAAUGAUCAAGCAGGGAUUGGGGUGUCUAGGAACUUUCAUUCAAUGGUUGUUGAAGCGGGGGAUACGAGUCAUUGACAUUUGACGAGCGAGAUGCAAGAAAUUACAUUGAGAGAGCUAGAAGGUUGAGGCUUGGGAAAGUGAUGCCGAAUCACUUCAAAGUUAUUUUAUGAGGAUGCAAGCACAUAGUGAGAGAUUCUUUUAUGUGAUUGAUGUUGAUGAGGAGUUUCGCAUUAGAAACUUGUUUUGGGCUGAUGCAAGAAGUAGGGCGACUUAUGAAGCAUCUGGAGAUGUCGUUUCAUUUGACACAACUUAUUUGACGAACAAAUAUGACAUGCCAUUUGCUCCAUUUGUCGAAGUUAAUCACCAUGGACAGUCCAUUUUGCUUGGUUGUGGAUUGUUAGUGAAGACCCUAACACAUUUGUUUGGUUAUUCAAGUCAUGGUUAAGUUGCAUGUCAAAUCAUCUGCCAAAAGCUAUCAUAACUGAUCAGUGUAGAGCUAUGCAAAAUGCUAUAGAAAUUGUGUUUCCACAAGCUCGACAUCCAGAGAAGUUGAAAGGAUAUGCUCAGUAUGAAGCCAUAAAGUUGGCUAUGCAAAAUGCAGUUUAUGACUGUUUGACAAGAGCUGAAUUUGAGAGUAAAUGGGAAGAGAUGCUUGCAACAUUCAAUCUUUAUGAUAAUGAGUGGUUGGGGGUACUAUAUGAUGAGCGGCAUCGAUGGGUACUUGUCUAUGUUAAAGACAUUUUUUGGGCUGGCAUGUCAACUACACAACGAAGUGAAAGUAUGAAUGCGUUUUUUGAUGGAUAUGUAAAUCCAAAAACUACAUUGAAGCAAUUCGUUGAACACUAUGACAAUGCCUUGAGAAAUAAGGUAGAGAAAGAGAAGAAAGCAGACUUCAAGUCUCGACACAAAUUGUUUGAUUGCCUAACUAUAUAUGGUUUUGAGAAGCAAUUUUAGCAAGCCUACACCAGUGCGAAAUUCAAAGAAGUUCAAGGAGAGUUGAAGAGAUUAGUUUACUGGCAGGCGGUGAUUGUGAAAGAGGAGGGAUCAAUUUCUACAUAUAAUGUCCAAAAAGCGAUGGUAGUUUGUGAGAAGAUGAAGCAUGUGGAUUUUGUUGUCUAUUUUAAUUCAACUGAAUGUGAAGUUCAAUGCAUGUGUCGGUUGUUUGAGUUUAGAGUCAUUAUGUGUGCUCACUCACUCGUUGUGCUUAUCAGAAGAUGCAUAAAUGAGGUGCCAAGUAAAUACAUUUUACCCCGGUGGAGAAAGGAUGUGGAUAGAGAAUACGCAUGCAUCAAAACCACAUACACCGGCUUUGGGAAUGAUUUCAAUGAAAGUACCUAUGAGAGGAUGAACAAAAAAUUGAUUGCCAUUGUACAACUUGCUGGUAACUUUGAAAGCAAAACUAGAAUUAUAGAUCUUGGGUUGGAUGAAAUCAAGGAGAGAGUCAUGAAAGAAGAAUCCGGUGAUGGGAAUAAUUUACCAUGUUCCACAAAAAGUCCGAAUCACACCGGUUCUACACAAGGAGGUACUAGUAGAAAGGUGAUUAGUCAUUUGGUUGCUCGAGGAAGAGGUCCUCCAGUUACGAAACGGAAGGUUGCCAAAGUAGAUCAAAUUGUUAAUCGGUUGUAGGAAACGGCAAAAAAACAAACAAAAGCAAAGGCUACUAAGUUGCUUCAAUUUGAAGCUGAAGCUCAAGCUCAAGCUAAAGCUAACGCUACUGCAUAUACACCGUAUUAUCCUUAUAUGGUUGGCACACAAAAUAGUAUGUUUGUACCGGUGGCCCAUGGUAUUGCAGGCACGUCUCUUACUCCAUCGGACUUCAUAAGUGGCACACAGGGAAGUUUGAUGAGUGCUCCAACUCAGAUUUAUGGUUCUGCAUCUCUAACCCCAGCAGUUUCUCAUGCAUGCACACCGGGAAGCUUUGUUAUUACAGACUUGUUUGACUAGUUUCUAUGUAUUCCAACUGUUUGUUUUUUAGAUUGGAAAUUAUGUAGUCUAUUAAUCUGAGUUUCAAACUUUGUUUUUGAGAUUGGAAAUUAUGUAGUCUAUUAAUCUGAGUUUCAAACUUUGUUUUUGAGAUUGUAGCUUAUGUUACAACCUUGGUAUUGAGAUUCAGCAUGUGGAUUUGUAAAACAUGUGGUAUACUAAUUAUUAAUGAAGUUAUGUUAUUAUUA